rnacentral:lncRNA from 1 species
GUUUUAUAAAUCACAGGGUUCCUGACCCAAGGAAGAACUCAAUUUCUUUGAUGACUCCACAGUAUUUUUAGCCAUUGAGUUGGUUAGUUCCUUGUCUGAAUAAUAUUCCUCCUUUGUUUACUCAACUUCUGAUUCUUCCUUCCUUCCUGCUGUGAAAUGGAAGCUCCGUGUUUGGCAAAGGAGAAUGAAACAUCUCAGAGGGCUCUGUCCAAAUAUAUCAUUUGAAGCUAUUAUGCACACACUGGAU